rnacentral:rRNA from 1 species
GUGUCAGCAGCCGCGGUAAUACGUAGGGGGCAAGCGUUGUCCGGAUUCAUUGGGCGUAAAGAGCUCGUAGGCGGUUCGGCAAGUCGGGUGUGAAAACUCCAGGCUCAACCUGGAGACGCCACCCGAUACUGCUGUGACUUGAGUCCGGUAGGGGACCACGGAAUUCCUGGUGUAGCGGUGAAAUGCGCAGAUAUCAGGAGGAACACCGGUGGCGAAGGCGGUGGUCUGGGCCGGCACUGACGCUGAGGAGCGAAAGCGUGGGGAGCGAACAGGAUUAGAUACCCCGGUAGUCC